AUCUUGCGCAAUGGGCGAAAGCCUGACGCAGCCAUGCCGCGUGAAUGAUGAAGGUCUUAGGAUUGUAAAAUUCUUUCACCGGGGAAGAUAAUGACGGUACCCGUAUAAGAAGCCCCGGCAAACUUCGUGCCAGCAGCCGCGGUAAUACGAAGGGGGCUAGCGUUGUUCGGAAUUACUGGGCGUAAAGCGCGCGUAGGCGGUGAUCCAUGUCAGAGGUGAAAGCCUGGGGCUCAACUCCAGAAUUGCCUUUGAAACGGGAUUGCUAGAGUCCGAGAGAGGAUGGCGGAAUUCCUAGUGUAGAGGUGAAAUUCGUAGAUAUUAGGAAGAACACCGGUGGCGAAGGCGGCCAUCUGGCUCGGUACUGACGCUCAGGCGCGAAAGCGUGGGGAGCAAACAGG
rnacentral:rRNA from 1 species